GUAGGUGGCAAGCGUUGUCCGGAAUUAUUGGGCGUAAAGCGCGCGCAGGCGGCCCUUUAAGUCUGAUGUGAAAGCCCACGGCUCAACCGUGGAGGGUCAUUGGAAACUGGGGGACUUGAGUACAGAAGAGGAAAGCGGAAUUCCAAGUGUAGCGGUGAAAUGCGUAGAGAUUUGGAGGAACACCAGUGGCGAAGGCGGCUUUCUGGUCUGUAACUGACGCUGAGGCGCGAAAGCGUGGGGAGCAAACAGGGAUUAGAUACCCUGGUAGUCCACGCCGUAAACGAUGAGUGCUAAGUGUUAGGGGGGUUUCCGCCCCCUUAGUGCUGCAGCUAACGCAUUAAGCACUCCGCCUGGGGAUACGGCCGCAAGGCUG
rnacentral:rRNA from 1 species